rnacentral:rRNA from 1 species
GAUGAACGCUGGCGGCGUGCCUAAUACAUGCAAGUCGAGCGAACUGAUUAGAAGCUUGCUUCUAUGACGUUAGCGGCGGACGGGUGAGUAACACGUGGGCAACCUGCCUGUAAGACUGGGAUAACUUCGGGAAACCGAAGCUAAUACCGGAUAGGAUCUUCUCCUUCAUGGGAGAUGAUUGAAAGAUGGUUUCGGCUAUCACUUACAGAUGGGCCCGCGGUGCAUUAGCUAGUUGGUGAGGUAACGGCUCACCAAGGCAACGAUGCAUAGCCGACCUGGGAGGGUGAUCGGCCACACUGGGACUGAGACACGGCCCAGACUCCUACGGGAGGCAGCAGUAGGGAAUCUUCCGCAAUGGACGAAAGUCUGAUGGAGCAACGCCGCGUGAGUGAUGAAGGCUUUCGGGUCGUAAAACUCUGUUGUUAGGGAAGAACAAGUACGAGAGUAACUGCUCGUACCUUGACGGUACCUAACCAGAAAGCCACGGCUAACUACGUGCCAGCCGCCGCAGUAAUAC